UGGGGAAUAUUGCACAAUGGAGGGAACUCUGAUGCAGCGACUCCGCGUGAGUGAUGAAGGAAUUCGUUUCGUAAAACUCUGUUCUAUGGGAAGAAAAGGACUGUACAAUAGGAGAAAGCUCCGGCUAAAUACGUGCCAGCAGCCGCGGUAAUACGUAUGGAGCGAGCGUUGUCCGGAAUUAUUGGGCGUAAAGGGUGCGCAGGCGGCUUUACAAGUUGGAUGUGAAAUAUUGUGGCUCAACCACAAACGUGCAUCCAAAACUGCAAAGCUUGAGUUAAGGAGAGGUAAGUGGAAUUCCUGGUGUAGCGGUGGAAUGCGUAGAUAUCAGGAGGAAUACCGGUGGCGAAGGCGACUUACUGGACUUAAACUGACGCGCAGGCACGAAAGCGUGGGGAGCAAACAGG
rnacentral:rRNA from 1 species